GAUGAACGCUGGCGGCGUGCCUAAUACAUGCAAGUCGAGCGAACAGACGAGGAGCUUGCUCCUCUGACGUUAGCGGCGGACGGGUGAGUAACACGUGGAUAACCUACCUAUAAGACUGGGAUAACUUCGGGAAACCGGAGCUAAUACCGGAUAAUAUAUUGAACCGCAUGGUUCAAUAGUGAAAGACGGUUUUGCUGUCACUUAUAGAUGGAUCCGCGCCGCAUUAGCUAGUUGGUAAGGUAACGGCUUACCAAGGCAACGAUGCGCAGCCGACCUGAGAGGGUGAUCGGCCACACUGGAACUGAGACACGGUCCAGACUCCUACGGGAGGCAGCAGUAGGGAAUCUUCCGCAAUGGGCGAAAGCCUGACGGAGCAACGCCGCGUGAGUGAUGAGGGUCUUCGGAUCGUAAAACUCUGUUAUUAGGGAAGAACAAAUGUGUAAGUAACUAUGCACGUCUUGACGGUACCUAAUCAGAAAGCCACGGCUAACUACGUG
rnacentral:rRNA from 1 species